rnacentral:rRNA from 1 species
UACGAAGGGGGCUAGCGUUGCUCGGAAUCACUGGGCGUAAAGCGCACGUAGGCGGCUUUCUAAGUCAGGGGUGAAAUCCUGGAGCUCAACUCCAGAACUGCCUUUGAUACUGGAGAGCUUGAGUCCGGAAGAGGUGAGUGGAACUCCGAGUGUAGAGGUGAAAUUCGUAGAUAUUCGGAAGAACACCAGUGGCGAAGGCGGCUCACUGGUCUGGUACUGACGCUGAGGAGCGAAAGCGUGGGGAGCGAACAGG